CAAGGACUGAACUACCAAGCACGCUGGAUCCAUGGUGAAGAGCAGCAUCAUUCAUCAUUUCCAUUGUCAGAGAACCACUUCCAAGAAAGCAGAAGUCAUCACAGAUAACUUAUUUGAGAAGACAAACACCUGCUGUCCUACCUCCUUCUCCUCCUCUCAACCCGUUUUAUAGCUGAACAUGUCACCGUAUGAUAACCUCUUGGAUCCCUGAACCGAUGACUCAUAUGAGAGAUCUUCUCAUCCUGUCCCAUUAGUUUGGAGGAUAAGGUUUGUUGUAUAGGAAAUUGUGAUGUUGAGAUU